CAUUCUGAAGAUGACUCUGCAGGCAUGGAGUUCAUUCCAGAGGAGGUCAGAGUCACUCAGCAUGAAGAGAGGGUGUAACAGGAUGUUGUCUCUGCUGAGGAAGUGGGGCUGCCACCUGAUGGGCUGUCCAUCAUCACCCCAGGAGAGGCUGGGCCAGGUUGUGGUGCGUCCAACCCCCAGCCCUCUGGGCAGACCGGUUGUGAUCUAAGUCAUUUCAAGAAGGGUUACUUCUCUUUCGCUUGCUGGGAAAGGGAGAAGUUCAUGGAAUGACGAAGGUCUUGAUAGACUCAACCUGAAGCAGCCCUUAGGAGCCAGCAGAUCCGGUAGCCCCAGCAGAUGUCAUUGGCUCGGAGGUCUGUAGGGAAGAGGAUAUCACAAGACCAGCUGCACAGUCACGGAAGGGGCUCUGGGGCUUUGCAGCAAGGCUCCUUCUCCUUCAGUGACUGAUCUCCUUUGAAGAAAGAACUUCUGGCCUGCUUCUGCGCAGGCAGCGACGGCCUGUUUGACCGCAGAGCACCAGGGUUGCUCAGUGGACCGAUGGCCAGAGGUUGGUGUGUCAAGAAUUUGGGGUGUCAAGUUUAAGCACAAAGCAUGGACCUUGUCUGACAAGACAGGCUGGCCACUGACUGUUAAGUAUUUCCCCACAAAAGGGACAAGCCCGGAGCCAGGUUACCAGCCCACACCUCAAGACAGGCUCUUCUUUUAGAAAAUGGACAAAGCUCUAUGACCAGAAGAAGCACUUUGGGGAAUUUAAAUUUACUUUCCCGGACACGACUCCACUAUCAUCACUACCCCUGAACUUAUGGGGCAUCCAAACUUCAGUCUCAGCAGGUGCAGCUGUGGCACUGGGACGGACACAGGAAGCAAUGUGGGAUCUUUGCUGCCAGUGAGCUCCCAGUCUAGGAGAAGAGAGAGGAAGCAUCUUUAUCUGUGUUAUCCCAGGAUCUCACUCUGUCGCCCAGGCUGGAGUGCACUGGUGCAACCUCGGCUCACUGCAGCCCUGACGUCCCGGGCUCAAGCGAUCCUCCUAUCUCAGCCUCCUGAGUACCUGGGACAGCAGGAGUGCAACACCACACCAACACCAGACCACAGCCUUGACCCCUGAGUUUAGAACAUGCAAGAAAUUCCUACAAAUCAAUUAGAAAAAACAGGCGAUUUAAUUAGAGAAAUGGGCAAAAGACCUGAACAAGCACUUUACCAAAGAAGAGAUCAAAACAGUUACUCAAUGGAUGCUCAACUGUGUUAUUCAUCAGUGGAUGCUGCUUAAAACCACGUUGAGAUAUCACUACAUAGCCGCCAGGACAGCAAAGUCAGGAAAGAGGAGCAGGAAUCAGUGAGGAUACAGAGAAACUGAACUCAAACAUUGUUGGUGGGAACUGAACUCACACACUGCUGAGGGGAACUGAACUCACUCACACACCACUGGGGGGACUGAACUCACACAGCACUGAGGGGACUGAACUCACUCGCACACCACGGGGGGAACUGAACUCACUCGCACACCAUGGGGGGGACUGAACUCACUCGCACACCACUGGGGGGACUGAACUCACACACCACGGGAGGACUGAACUCACUCACACACAAUGGGGGGGACUGAACUCACUCACCUACCACUGGGGGGACUGAACUCACACACCACGGGGGGACUGAACUCACUCACACAGCACUGGGGGACUGAGCUCACUCACACAGCACUGGGGGGGACUGAGCUCACUCGCACAGCACUGGGGGACUGAGCUCACUAGCACAGCACUGGGGGCACUGAGCUCACUCGCACAGCACUGGGGGGACUGAGCUCACUUGCACACCACGGGGGGGACUGAGCUCACCACGGGGGUGCCUGAGCUCACUCACACACAACUGGGGGGACUGAAGUCACUCACAUACCACUGGGGGGACUGAACUCACUUGCACACCACUGGGGGACUGAACUCACACCCACACCGCUGGGGGGACUGAACUACUCACACACUGCUGGGGGGACUGAGCUCACACACCACGGGGGGACUGAACUCACUCGCACAGCACGAGGGGGACUGAGCUCACUUGCACACCAUGGAGGGGACUGAGCUCACCACGGGGGGGUCUGAGCUCCCUCACACACCACUGGGGGGACUGAGCUCCCUCACACAGCGCUGGGGUGACUGAGCUCCCUCACACAGCGCUGGGGGGACUGAGCUCCCUCGCACACCGCGGGGGGGACUCAGCUCACAUGCACAGCACUGGGUGGACUCAGCUCACUCGCACAGCACUGGGUGGGCUGAACUCCACUCGCACAGCACUGGGUGGACUGAGCUCACUCACACACCACGGGGGGCCUGAACUCACUCACACACAACUGGGGGGACUGAGCUCACUCACACACCACUGGGGGGACUGAACUCACACACACACCACUGGGGGGACUGAGCUCACUCACACAGCACUGGGUGGACUGAACUCACUCACACACCACAGUGGGGACUGAACUCACUCACACAGCACUAGGUGGACUGAACUCACUCACACACCACUGGGGGGACUGAGCUCACUCACACACCACUGGGGGGACUGAGCUCACUCACACACCACGGGGGGCCUGAACUCACUCACACACAACUGGGGGAACUGAGCUCACUCACACACCACUGGGGGGACUGAGCUCACUCACACACCACGGGGGGCCUGAACUCACUCACACACAACUGGGGGGACUGAGCUCACUCACACAGCCCUGGGUGGACUGAACUCACUCACACACCACAGUGGGGACUGAACUCACUCACACAGCACUGGGUGGACUGAACUCAAUCACACACCACUGGGGGAACUGAGCUCACUCACACAGCACUCGGGGGACUGAACUCACACACCACGGAGGGGGCCUGAACUCACUCACACACCACUGUGGGGAAACUGAACUCACUUGCGCACCGCUGGGGGGAAGUACAUUUUUGCAUUGACCCUAGAGCAGUAACCACUGAAACCGAACUGAAGCUUCCAUGGCGACGCUGUGAUUCCUCACGACCCGCAGAAAUUCAAACAUGUUGCACACAAGGUCAUGCGCAAGAAUGUUGACAGGAUCACUGUUUGUGUGUUUAUCUGAACCUUCACCUGCUCAUGAGAGAUGAAGGUUAUCAUGUGAACGUGGGGAAGACAUUGCCAAACAUCCAGGGGAGGUUUCCCCGGAGAGCAGACACCACCUCCCGUCACCGUCCUCUUGGAAAUGCCUUGCAGCACGGUCAAGGGACUCUGCUGCUCUGCCAGUCCACUGCGUAGGUCUUCCUGCUUCUCCACUUUAUUUCCACCAGAUUAUAAACUCUUGGAAACAAAUAUUCUGCCAUCACUCAUUUCUUUAUCACUCACAGCAUCUGGAUGUCCUCCACAACAGCAAGUGGCACCUGUCAUAUUUUGUUUUGUGUUUUUUUUUUGUUUUUUUUUUUUUUUUGAGACGGAGUCUCGCUCUCUUGCCCAGGCUGGAGUGCAGUGGUGUGAUCUCUGCUCAUUGCAAGCUCCCCCUCUCGGGUUCAAGCGAUUCUCCUGCCUCAGCCUCCCUAGUAGCUGGGACUACAGCUGCGUGCUGCCACGCCUGGCUAAUUUUUUGAAUUUUUAGUAGAGACGGGGUUUCACAGUGUUAGCCAGGACAGUCUUGAUCUCCGGCCCUCGUGAUCCACCCGCCUCGGCCUCCCGAAAGUGCUGGGAUUACAGGCAUGAGCCACCGCGCCCGGCCACCUGUCAUGUUUUACAGCUGAGGAAGCUGAGGUCACAUGUCCAAGGACUCAAGCAUGGGAUGUCUCUGUCCCUACCCAGCGUGGGUCUCACCACCACUCCUUAUUGACUCCACUCUGAUCAGACUGUGCCUCUGAUAACUCCCAGGACAGGCUCAGCCUUUUCAAGCUUCUGGGGCUUUGCAUUUGCUUUUGCCUCUACCUGGGUCUUUAUUUCUUCCAUUGUCCAAGGACCAAGUCCUCCUCAUCCUUCAGGUCUCAACUCCAGCUGGGCUCCGAGGAGGAGCUACCACCUGGGAUGCCACUACCUGUCGGGCCUGCCUCCCUCUCUUACUCGCUCGUGUCCUUGCAUUUCACUCAUUGAAUGAUCUUAAACUGUAAUGACAUGAUAAUUAUUUU